rnacentral:lncRNA from 1 species
GCUCAGAGGUCUAGUGGCAAAUAAACUCGCAAACAUAGUAUCCUUAUAAAUUAUUCCCGUGUGCCUGCCACAAGCACUUUACGAGAAUAGAGUUCAAUCAAACAGAUAAGCAAGCAUGACAAUGGUAUUGAUGAAAUUAGAAUCAAUGAGAGAUGUGCGGAACUAGCUAGUACUACUUAUUUUAGGAUGCGUAAAUCACAGCUUCUUCUUCUCUAGACUCGAAACCAUUCCGGUGAAUUUAUUCCAAAUCCUUCCCAGCCAAUAAAAUGAUUACUUAAUUUCAGGAAAUGAACGAAAGUUGCCGAUAUGAUGUGAUAAUGAUUGAACUUACUUCUGGAGCAUUUCACUCAUGUCCGACCACUCCUUAGCCUCUUUACGUCUCGAGUCUAAGAUAAUUGCUACUCCCACGUCAAGCUUAAUGGAUAGCAAAAUAAAGUGGAACCUGCGCACGCAUAACUCAUCAAUUACACUUAAUGUCGUGUAAGCGAAACCGAAUAUGCACUAAGACAGUAACACUCACUUGAAGUUGUAAGGAAAGAGUAUUUCCCUUUUGUUUUGAUGUCGAAGGAACGCGUUUAGCAAGUUUUCCUCAAUAUGUUUGGCUCUGUUUUGUACCGCCCAUUCAUUUACGGUAUUUGGGCUAAUGAACCCAACAUCAUAGAUUUGUCCUCUUUUGCACCCGACGAUCUUCAAU